AACGCAUAUUGCGCUCUCUGGUAUUCCGGAGAGCAUGCUUGUUUGAGUAUCAGUAAACACCUCAACUCCCUUUUUCUUUUUUGAAAUGAGGGAGCUGGACUUGAGUGAUCCCAACACUUUUCUCACUGAAAAGUGGCGGGUCACUUGAAAUGCAGGUGCAGCUGGACUUUUCUCUGAGCUAUAAGCAUAUCUAUUUAGUCUGCCUAAAAAACAGAUUAUUACCUUUGCUGCAGCUAACAUAAAGGAGAUGAGUUCUUGUGCUGACUGAUGCAGGAUUCACAGAGACAGCUUUGCGGCUGACUUUGUAAACUCGAUCUCAAAUCAAGUAAGACUACCCGCUGAACUUAA
rnacentral:misc_RNA from 2 species